UCCAACAUGGGAUCCGGGGGGUGGUUUGGCCCCUACUACUACCAGGGACGUCGCGAUCAGAGGCUCUCGCAACGGCGGCAAAGACAAACAGGCUCCAUCAUCACUACUCUCCUGGAACAGAACAGAACAGAAGAGAAGAGGUCCCUGGAUCCGUGUAUCGCACUCCGGUCCGGGGUGAGGAGGGCCAUGUGCAUGCAGGCUCGCCGUAGAGUGUGGAGCGGACCACCUCCGCCGCGGGGCGCACGGCGGAUGGAUCACAUCACCCAGCGGGGAGCGGAUGGACGGACAGGGACCAUGCCGUAGGCCGUAGCGUCGCACGCUCACCAUCGACGUGUCGCCCUAAGUUUUUCCGGUGCGCCACGUGAUUAGCACCACAAGUACUACGUCCGGAAAAAGUUCAUUUGAAA
rnacentral:lncRNA from 1 species